UACGUAGGGUGCGAGCGUUAAUCGGAAUUACUGGGCGUACAGGGUGCGCAGGCGGCGUCGCAAGUCAGGCGUGAAAUCCCCGGGCUUAACCUGGGAACUGCACUUGAAACUACGAUGCUGGAGUAUGGCAGAGGGAGGUGGAAUUCCACGUGUAGCGGUGAAAUGCGUAGAGAUGUGGAGGAACACCGAUGGCGAAGGCAGCCUCCUGGGCCAAUACUGACGCUCAUGCACGAAAGCGUGGGGAGCAAACAGG
rnacentral:rRNA from 1 species